GGGCCAUUAGCUCAGCUGGUUAGAGCAUCGGCCUCUUAAGCCGAGUGUCCUGGGUUCGAGCCCCAGAUGGCCCUCCA
rnacentral:tRNA from 1 species